ACAAAGGCUCUUUUCAGAGCCACCCACCUUUUCAUGAACGGCAGCU
rfam:Dipodomys ordii contig_22832, whole genome shotgun sequence.